rnacentral:lncRNA from 1 species
UGGGCAAUCCCUAGAUUCCCUAAAUUUUUCUCCAGGAACUGAAACACACUUCCGGUACCUACACGUGUCCCGAAAAAACUCAAAAUCAUAUCCAGGGCCUAACUCGGCCAAUUUCAGAAUUCCGGCACAUCGACUCCGCCGUGCUCCGACGACGGCACCACCACCUACAGCGGCGAUCCGCCUCGGGUUGGCCAUUUUGGGUCAAAUUCAGCCAAACUUGCAUUGGUUCCUGCGAUAAAACAACCCUAGGGCCCUCGGUGGGCCAAACAAUCACGAAAAAUCGAGACUUACUGACGGCGGAGCUCUCGGGUGCGACAACUUCUCCGGCGCGAGUCGCGAUUAUAUUUUGCUCUAGUUAACCUGUAGAGAAAAGGACGGUGAUCACAGUGGUGUAAAAAUUGCAUCAAACGGGAACCGGGAAGGACCUCAUCGGAGG